rnacentral:rRNA from 1 species
UUAAGCGACUAAGCGUACACGGUGGAUGCCCUGGCAGUCAGAGGCGAUGAAGGACGUGCUAAUCUGCGAUAAGCGUCGGUAAGGUGAUAUGAACCGUUAUAACCGGCGAUUUCCGAAUGGGGAAACCCAGUGUGAUUCGUCACACUAUCAUUAACUGAAUCCAUAGGUUAAUGAGGCGAACCGGGGGAACUGAAACAUCUAAGUACCCCGAGGAAAAGAAAUCAACCGAGAUUCCCCCAGUAGCGGCGAGCGAACGGGGAGCAGCCCAGAGCCUGAAUCAGUGUGUGUGUUAGUGGAAGCGUCUGGAAAGGCGCGCGAUACAGGGUGACAGCCCCGUACACAAAAAUGCACAUGCUGUGAGCUCGAUGAGUAGGGCGGGACACGUGGUAUCCUGUCUGAAUAUGGGGGGACCAUCCUCCAAGGCUAAAUACUCCUGACUGACCGAUAGUGAACCAGUACCGUGAGGGAAAGGCGAAAAGAACCCCGGCGAGGGGAGUGAAAAAGAACCUGAAACCGUGUACGUACAAGCAGUGGGAGCACAGAGCAAUCUGUGUGACUGCGUACCUUUUGUAUAAUGGGUCAGCGACUUAUAUUCUGUAGCAAGGUUAACCGAAUAGGGGAGCCGAAGGGAAACCGAGUCUUAACUGGGCGUUAAGUUGCAGGGUAUAGACCCGAAACCCGGUGAUCUAGCCAUGGGCAGGUUGAAGGUUGGGUAACACUAACUGGAGGACCGAACCGACUAAUGUUGAAAAAUUAGCGGAUGACUUGUGGCUGGGGGUGAAAGGCCAAUCAAACCGGGAGAUAGCUGGUUCUCCCCGAAAGCUAUUUAGGUAGCGCCUCGUGAAUUCAUCUCCGGGGGUAGAGCACUGUUUCGGCAAGGGGGUCAUCCCGACUUACCAACCCGAUGCAAACUACGAAUACCGGAGAAUGUUAUCACGGGAGACACACGGCGGGUGCUAACGUCCGUCGUGAAGAGGGAAACAACCCAGACCGCCAGCUAAGGUCCCAAAGUCAUGGUUAAGUGGGAAACGAUGUGGGAAGGCCCAGACAGCCAGGAUGUUGGCUUAGAAGCAGCCAUCAUUUAAAGAAAGCGUAAUAGCUCACUGGUCGAGUCGGCCUGCGCGGAAGAUGUAACGGGGCUAAACCAUGCACCGAAGCUGCGGCAGCGACGCUGAUGCGUUGUUGGGUAGGGGAGCGUUCUGUAAGCCUGUGAAGGUGUGCUGUGAGGCAUGCUGGAGGUAUCAGAAGUGCGAAUGCUGACAUAAGUAACGAUAAAGCGGGUGAAAAGCCCGCUCGCCGGAAGACCAAGGGUUCCUGUCCAACGUUAAUCGGGGCAGGGUGAGUCGACCCCUAAGGCGAGGCCGAAAGGCGUAGUCGAUGGGAAACAGGUUAAUAUUCCUGUACUUGGUGUUACUGCGAAGGGGGGACGGAGAAGGCUAUGUUGGCCGGGCGACGGUUGUCCCGGUUUAAGCGUGUAGGCUGGUUUUCCAGGCAAAUCCGGAAAAUCAAGGCUGAGGCGUGAUGACGAGGCACUACGGUGCUGAAGCAACAAAUGCCCUGCUUCCAGGAAAAGCCUCUAAGCAUCAGGUAACAUCAAAUCGUACCCCAAACCGACACAGGUGGUCAGGUAGAGAAUACCAAGGCGCUUGAGAGAACUCGGGUGAAGGAACUAGGCAAAAUGGUGCCGUAACUUCGGGAGAAGGCACGCUGAUAUGUAGGUGAAGUCCCUCGCGGAUGGAGCUGAAAUCAGUCGAAGAUACCAGCUGGCUGCAACUGUUUAUUAAAAACACAGCACUGUGCAAACACGAAAGUGGACGUAUACGGUGUGACGCCUGCCCGGUGCCGGAAGGUUAAUUGAUGGGGUCAGCGCAAGCGAAGCUCUUGAUCGAAGCCCCGGUAAACGGCGGCCGUAACUAUAACGGUCCUAAGGUAGCGAAAUUCCUUGUCGGGUAAGUUCCGACCUGCACGAAUGGCGUAAUGAUGGCCAGGCUGUCUCCACCCGAGACUCAGUGAAAUUGAACUCGCUGUGAAGAUGCAGUGUACCCGCGGCAAGACGGAAAGACCCCGUGAACCUUUACUAUAGCUUGACACUGAACAUUGAGCCUUGAUGUGUAGGAUAGGUGGGAGGCUUUGAAGUGUGGACGCCAGUCUGCAUGGAGCCGACCUUGAAAUACCACCCUUUAAUGUUUGAUGUUCUAACGUGGACCCGUAAUCCGGGUUGCGGACAGUGUCUGGUGGGUAGUUUGACUGGGGCGGUCUCCUCCUAAAGAGUAACGGAGGAGCACGAAGGUUGGCUAAUCCUGGUCGGACAUCAGGAGGUUAGUGCAAUGGCAUAAGCCAGCUUGACUGCGAGCGUGACGGCGCGAGCAGGUGCGAAAGCAGGUCAUAGUGAUCCGGUGGUUCUGAAUGGAAGGGCCAUCGCUCAACGGAUAAAAGGUACUCCGGGGAUAACAGGCUGAUACCGCCCAAGAGUUCAUAUCGACGGCGGUGUUUGGCACCUCGAUGUCGGCUCAUCACAUCCUGGGGCUGAAGUAGGUCCCAAGGGUAUGGCUGUUCGCCAUUUAAAGUGGUACGCGAGCUGGGUUUAGAACGUCGUGAGACAGUUCGGUCCCUAUCUGCCGUGGGCGCUGGAGAAUUGAGGGGGGCUGCUCCUAGUACGAGAGGACCGGAGUGGACGCAUCACUGGUGUUCGGGUUGUCAUGCCAAUGGCACUGCCCGGUAGCUAAAUGCGGAAGAGAUAAGUGCUGAAAGCAUCUAAGCACGAAACUUGCCCCGAGAUGAGUUCUCCCUGACUCCUUGAGAGUCCUGAAGGAACGUUGAAGACGACGACGUUGAUAGGCCGGGUGUGUAAGCGCAGCGAUGCGUUGAGCUAACCGGUACUAAUGAACCGUGAGGCUUAACCUU